GUGACACUUUGUAAAAAUAAACUCAGAAGACUGCUGCUAGAGACUGUAAUUGCUGGCUCCGGCGGGCGCCUUGCGGCCGGGGCCCCCCCUGGGGCGGCCCGCCGGAGCAUAUCGUGGCGGUAUGUUCACAGUGGUUUGGGAGUCGGGUGACUCUGUAAUGAUCCCUCCGCUGGUUCACCAACGGAGA
rnacentral:misc_RNA from 1 species